GGCGGACGGGUGAGUAAUGCCUAGGAAUCUGCCUAGUAGUGGGGGAUAACGUCCGGAAACGGGCGCUAAUACCGCAUACGUCCUACGGGAGAAAGUGGGGGAUCUUCGGACCUCACGCUAUUAGAUGAGCCUAGGUCGGAUUAGCUAGUUGGUGAGGUAAUGGCUCACCAAGGCGACGAUCCGUAACUGGUCUGAGAGGAUGAUCAGUCACACUGGAACUGAGACACGGUCCAGACUCCUACGGGAGGCAGCAGUGGGGAAUAUUGGACAAUGGGCGAAAGCCUGAUCCAGCCAUGCCGCGUGUGUGAAGAAGGUCUUCGGAUUGUAAAGCACUUUAAGUUGGGAGGAAGGGCAGUUACCUAAUACGUGAUUGUUUUGACGUUACCGACAGAAUAAGCACCGGCUAACUCUGUGCCAGCAGCCGCGGUAAUACAGAGGGUGCAAGCGUUAAUCGGAAUUACUGGGCGUAAAGCGCGCGUAGGUGGUUUGUUAAGUUGGAUGUGAAAGCCCCGGGCUCAACCUGGGAACUGCAUCCAAAACUGGCAAGCUAGAGUAUGGUAGAGGGGUGGGUGGGAAUUUCCUGUGUAGCGGUGAAAUGCGUAGAUAUAGGAAGGAACACCAGUGGCGAAG
rnacentral:rRNA from 1 species